rnacentral:lncRNA from 1 species
UUUUGAACUUUGGACUUUUAAACAUUGUUGAGACUGUUACAGACUAUGGGGACUUUUGAAGUUGGACUCAAUGCAUUUUGCAUUAUGAGAUUAUUAAGUGCUUGUGAGGGCCUGGGAGUGGAAUGUGGUAAUUUGAAUGUAAUUGGUCCCCAUAAGCUCAUAGAGAAUGGCACUAUUAGGUGGUAUGGCCUUGUUGAAGUAGGUAUAGCCUUGCUGAUGGAAGUGUGUCACUGUGUGGGGGGUGGGCUUUGAAGUUUCUUUUGCUCAAGUUUCACUUGGUGUGACUUCCAGACCAUUUCCUGCUGCCUACAAGAUGUAGGACUCUCAGCUCCUUCACCAACACCACAUCUGCCUUCAUGCAGCCAUCCUCCAUAAUACUGAACUGAACCUCUGAACUAUUUGUAUGAAGCAGAGAACUCUAAACCCCACAGUUUCCUGGAGAAAGCAACACCUGGAAGACCGAAGGAAACCAAGCAAGAUUUCAAUUUUCCACUAGCCUCUCUACAUUGCCCUAGCUGUCCUGGAACUCACUGUGUAGACUAGACUAGCUUAAGACUCAUAGAGAUCUGCCUGCUUUUGUCUCCAUAGUUCUGGGCUUGACUGAUGUUUUGAGGAGCCAACAGGAAUAGCUGGUUAAUGAAGAUACAUGGAGAUUAUCUUUACCCCAGUCAAACCUUUAGAAUUGGAAGAUGUAAUGAAUCCAGUAAAGUGUCCACAGAUAAAUACUGGUUAAUUUUAUGCUAACUUGACACAAGCUAGAGUCAUCAGAGAGGAGGGAGCUUCAAUUGAGAAAAUGUCUGCAUACAAUGGGGCUAUGGGCAGGACAGUAAGGCAUUUUCUUAAUUAGUGAUUCAUGUGGGAGGGCCCAGCUCAUUGUGGGUGGGGACAUCCCUGGGCUGGUAGUCCGGGGUUCUAUUAAAAAAAAGCAGGGAGAACAAGCCAGUAUGCAGCACCUCUCCAUGGCCUUUGCAUCAGCUUCUGCCUCUGGAUUCCUGUCCUGUUUGAGUUCCUGUCCUGACUUCCUUCAGUGAUGAACAAUGUAUGGAAGUGUAAG